GACGAACGCUGGCGGCGCGCCUAAUACAUGCAAGUAGAACGCUGAAGAGAGGAGCUUACUCUUCUUGGAUGAGUUGCGAACGGGUGAGUAACGCGUAGGUAACCUGCCUUGUAGCGGGGGAUAACUAUUGGAAACGAUAGCUACUACCGCAUAACAAUGGAUGACACAUGUCAUCUAUUUGAAAGGGGCAAUUGCUCCACUACAAGAUGGACCUGCGUUGUAUUAGCUAGUAGGUGAGCUAAUGGCUCACCUAGGCGACGAUACAUAGCCGACCUGAGAUGCUGAUAGGCCCAACUGAGACUGAGGCACGCCCCGGACUCCGCCGGGGGGCAGCAGUCGGGAAUCCUCGGCAACGGGGGCAAUCCUGACCGAGCAACGCCGCGUCAGUGAGGAAGGCUUCCGGAUCGGAAAGCUCUGUUGUAAGUCAAGAACGGGUGUGAGAGUGGAAAGUGCACCCUGUGACGGCAGCUUACCAGAAAUGGACGGCUAACUACGAG
rnacentral:rRNA from 1 species